rnacentral:rRNA from 1 species
AAACUAGGAUUAGAUACCCUAUUAUUAAGAAUAAAAAAUUGUAAGUAAAUAUUAAUUACGAAAGCAAAAAAUUAUGGCGGUAUUUUAAGCUUUUCAGAGGAAUUUGCUCUUUAAUGGAUAAAACACCUAGACCUUACUUAAAAUUAGUACUUUCGUUGUAUACCACUAUUAUAAUAAUAAUUUGUUAUUAUUAUUAAUAUUCUUUUAAAUUAGAAGAAAAUUAAGUCAAGGUGCAGCAUAAAUUUAUGAAUGAAGUGAAUUACAUUUCUUUUAAGAAAUAUUUAAAAUUAAAAUAAAACUUUAGGAUUUGAUAGUAAAAUUAAAAUAUUAAGUUAAUUUGAAUAAAGCUCUAAAAUAUGUACAUAUCGCCCGCACUCUUUUAUAAGCUAAGUCGUAACAUAG